GAUAGAAUAAAUACUAGGCUUCCAAAGAAUAUGUCCUGGGGUCGAUUUACUUGACUAAAGGCGGUGCUCCAGCAUGGCCGCAGUCAAAUGACUGAAACCAGUAAAAGAGAGACUUACUUCCAUCUUGAAAUUGCUGAUGUUGUGCUAAAGUUUAAGAUUAAUAUUCUAAGAAUGUUGAAUGGAAUUGGUGCAAUGUAUAAGACACUCAUGAACAGACUGCAGCCUGCAGGAGUUUCUGUACGGCAUGCUUGAUGAAAAAUUACUUUGAAUAUUUUUAACAAUGCAACAUGCCUGAUGAUGGACCAUGUCUAAUGGCCUACUUCUUCAAAAAGUUUACCAAUGCCUGGUAUAAGAUAUUAAAUCCAUUGGUUAUCAUCUCAAAUUUACUGCAAUCAUUUCAGUGCUUUUCCAGAUGGCUAUGUUAUUCUACUAUGUUAUUUCAUCUAGCCUUCAGUAAGAGGGUAUCCGCUCAGCUGUCUUUAACAUGUUGUAGCAUUCAGCUUCAGGUACCAGUUUCUAGCAACCAACAGCAGGUACCAGUUGUCAGUAAUAUGUACCAACUAUCUGUGAUAUGUACCAGCUAUUGGCAAUACAAAUCAGCUAUGAGCAUUAGAUAUCGGUCAGCAACAACAGGUACCAGCAAGUGGUGGUACGUAUAUCAUCAAUCAAAAAAUAGGCACCAACAACAAUUACCAACUGUGAAUAGUAUCUACCAUCAAGGAGCAAAGGGUACCAUCAAGCAGUAACAAGUUCUGAUAGGUACCAAUAAAUAGUAACAGAAACCGGUAAUCAGCAAUAGAAACCAUCCAGCAACAAGCAAGACCAGCUAUCAGGUAGAGGUACCAGUUAUCAGCACCAGCUUAUAGCUAUUGGCAAUAGGUACCAGCUAGCAGCAAUAGAUACUAGCUUUUGGCAAAAAAUACUAGAUAUCGACUAUAAGUACUAGCUAUUAGUAAUAGGUACCAGCUAGUGAGUUGCAGGUGCCAAGUACUUGGUAUCUUCAAAAAAGUCACACAAAAAAAAAUACUGGAAUUCAUUUGCCCAAUUAAACUCUUCAAGGUGGUGCCCCAGCAUGGCCAUAGUCCAAUGACUGAAAUGAUUAAAAGAUAAGAGGUAUUUAAAGUCUUCAAGGUAAUCACGCCUCACUGUACAAUAUUAGUAUUUGAUAUUCUGGUUAUCAAAUAUUAAAAAAAUAGUCACAAGAUUAUCAGUUGUCCUUUCAGGGUCAAAAGUAGCUGUGAAAUGGUAGAAUUAUUGAAGCAUUAUGCAAGAGGCUUUACAGUUUGUUUUUGGAUUUUUAUAUUUAGAGUUCAAAUCCUUGAUUGGAUGGAUUGGGAGGUGUCAAGGCAGCUCAUAAUAUACUGCAGUAUCACCAGCAUCUUUCUACUAUUGAGCAGCAGGCCUUCCGUUGCCUCAGUAAAAUGGUGCCAUAGAUUGUAUCCAUGACGACCUGCCAAGACCUGCUCGCAACUCUUUCACCUCAUUAAUCAAACUCACUAGCAAA